UCUUAUGGACAAAGAAAGUGGUUGCUUGAGAUGGAAUCUACUCCUGGUGAAGAUGCUGUGAA
rnacentral:pre_miRNA from 1 species